ensembl:lncRNA
UAGCACUAAUAGAGAGAUAUAACCACGAUCAGAUGAUAAGAGCAGGUCAUUUGUAACUCUAAGGAGAGCAGUCUCAGUACUAUGAUACGGUCUAAAUCCUGACUGGAAAUCCUCACAGAUGCCAUUUUUCUCAAAUACUAGAAAUUGUGAAUAUAAAUAAUCGUGAAUCAUUUUAUUUAUCUAUUAUAACAUUUAUGUAGUUUUGUUCACUUGGCUGUUUCUUUAUAAAGGUCCAGAAACUGCAGUUUUUCGUCAGGAGUCUUUUUUAAUUAUAAGGUAGUUCCCUCAGCGGUGGGCGGGGCUAACUCACAUGCAGCGAUCCUAUUGAUUGAGAGUGUGAUUGAUUGCUCGACACCUGCCAGAGAUCAGCAACAAACAAGAAUCAGCAGCGGCAGCUGAACACGCUUCAGUCAGAUCUGAACACGCCCUGUAUCCUGAAAUUAAUUUCAGCACAUGUCCUUGCAUUUUUAAGGCACUUUUGACAGAUGAAGGGGUCUGUUCAGGUUCGGAGCUGCCGGGGGUCACGAGGAUCUGCCGGGAGUCACGAGGAGCUGCCGGAGGACAGGGGAGUAACCGCUGAACUCUGACCUUGUUCUGGACUCGGUGCUGCUGUGAUGCUCUGAGCUCUUGGACCGCUCUGAUUCUAAGCUCGGACCCGUUCUCUGGGAACUGCUUUGACGGACGCUUGUUUAAACAGAACGAUCAUACAGUGUGUGUGUGUGUGU